UGAGGUGAAGUUUAUAGUGUACACUUUAUCGCGCUGAUAAUAGACGAAAGCUACGUAGAAGGAUAGUAAAGUUGCUUCUCUCUCUCUCUCUCUCUCUCUCUCUCUACGUAGAAGGAACGACACGGGACAGCACAAGCGCGGUUCCUUCUAUGUAGCUUUCGUCUAUUGUCAGCGCGAUUGUCAGGCCCUUUGGCUCUUCUAGAGGUGAAGUUUGUUUGCAGGCGGUCGCUGCUUGCCAUCUGCUUGCACAGCGCGAUUUAGUAGCGCGGUCGAGGCCACAGGACCACUAAGGGUGCCAAGUGAAAGCCACCGUGGUAGCUGCAUGGACAGAUCUUCCCGAUUUCACUUGGAGGCCGUCUACCUGCUAUGACUAAAAGGCUGCCGACUGUGACGUUGUGUGCAGAUUCAUCACCCUAUCCACAUCAACGAAACUGACUGAACAGUGCUUUUGUUUGAACAUUAUAUCGGAAUGUUGCUGGUACACCAUGCUUUCUUUGCCAAAGCCUCAUUCUUUUAUUAGUUUGUGUUCAAGGUGCAUCCAAUUCUUUUUUAAAAUUUCUUCCUUGUGUAAGAACUUCUCGUUUCUCUGAAAACUGCAUUCAUGUUUUCCUGUUUUGAGGCUGUGCCUCAGUCAAACAAGGUAAUACUGCACAAACGUAUCACAAGGUGUAUUGUUGAAUAUUACAAUGCUGUCCUUUUGCAUAUGACUUUCUGUGCGCAUUAAACUUGUUCUACACACACAGAAAUUCCAUAUACCUGUGUUCAGUUCAUAUGGGCUUCACAUUAUAAAGGUUUAAAGCCUUACAAGUGCAUGUGCACAAAUGGAAAGAGCCCAGUGGGAGAUGGGGAGCAACACCAGUGCUUGGUGCUAGUUCUUUACCCUGUUUGCACUAUAAUGUUCAUUUCACAUACCUUUAUCUCUUGGGUUAUAAGAAGUUUAUGCUGAAAUCUCUUGCACUCUUUUUUCUUACUUUGUGAAGCAAGCGGUGCACAAAAGUGAAGUUCCUUGGACUUCUGCUGAUGCUUGCUUGUGAAAUACGUACUUCAAAAAGUCAAGAGGGAGAACUCGAGAACAUCACCUGAUGCAAGAAAGUCCCAGCAGGGUUGGAUAUUUUGAAGACAGUUUUUGUGUUUCUAGCGUAGUGUUAUGGAAUUUGACAUAGUAAAGAAAUGCUACAUGGAACGCUGAUCCGUACCCUUCAAUACCCUUGGAACUCGUGCCUCUGAAGCCUGUAUGUUGUAUUUUAUUUUGUUAUGAAUAAUAAAGUGAACCAAUAAUUGGGCUUUCACUGAAGUAAUCAAAAGUUUGUGCUCUGUAAGGGGCAUGGUAUAUAACAUGCAUUUGUUUUAGCAAUGAAAUUCACUGAAGCUAUGUAAUAUGGUUCCCGACAUUAAGUAGCAGUAAAUUAGUUGGGAAUAAAAAAAAAAGCCAAUGUACACGAAAAUUUCACGUUUUCGGCAAAGUAUGCCAUAACCAACUAACACAAGUGCUUUUAGGCAGUUUUGAUAACAUAUUCUAUAUGACGUUCGUAUGACAUGUUAGUGCCAGAAACCACACUAAGCUAUGGCACAAUGCAAGUUAAAACUUUUAAUUUGACUGUACUAAAACGGACUUGAUAGGGUUGGCCACGGUGACAAAGCGAUUGAGUUGCCACUGAAGACGUGGACCACACCUAGUUAAGCAACCUGCCGCUUUCAUGAUGCCACGAUGCAUACGCUUUCCCACACCUGUGGAAAAGUCUCAUAACGUCUCCAUCUUGGAGGCUUUUGUUCUGGAAAUAGUUGUCCCGGCCCCUAAUAAAACAGCAGAGGGCAGCCCAGGAAAAUGUAAAAGGUGGAUAGUCUUCAAAAGUGUCGCUUUAGAACAGGCCGUAGCAUGCAAGUUCUUUGGAGCAAUUGGGACAGUGCCUCCAUCCCAGUAAAUUAUCACAUUUUGUUAUGGCACGAGCGGCGUCAGCGCCCCCUCAGAAAAGGAAAGAAAGAAGCACUAAAGACAUCAAGAAAGGUCCUUGCUUCAGAAGUGCCUCUGAAACCAGGCUGCAGAGUCAGCUUUGCGGUGUGCCAGCGGCGACGUCGGAGGGAGAGGCGGUCAGGUAAAAGGAAUUGCGGGAAUUAGGGCGCCCCUCUCCUUUUGCGAUUGCCGUGGCAGACGUGGGAAGAAAAAGGGAGAGGGGGGGGGGGGCGCCGUCAGUUUAUGGUGCCCUUCUAAAUUCCCCCGAAAAUGAACACGCUGUGCUAACGCGCACUUGUCGGGCCGAUUAAUGGAACGGAAAAUACGCGGGAAAUGCCUUCACGAAGUUUUAUUUGCCCAAGCAGCCUACGCGACAUAACUCAUCUGCGGUGUGGAGAUCGAGGAGGGCUUCGAAGCGCUCGGCUGGAAAGCUCCGGCAUUGUUCAGGAUUAGAGACGUCACUUGCCGUGCUCGGAAUAUUACGUACAAUUUCCGAAAAUUCGCGCCGCUGUCUGGAGAUUGCGUAAUGGAAAUGGCUUCGUAACCAAGUCGAAUAAAUGAAAUGUGGAUAUCGAUUGGUUUAUCACUACUACUGUCCCUACAUUUAGGCAUUGAUCGGAUGAGGAGUCUGAUGUUAAGUGCAUCGAUGCGCUGCAGCCACUCCGCUCGCCGGAUUCAUUUGCGGGCACAUAAUUUCGCAGCUUCACAUGCGCCGGUCACCAGACUUGCAUCCUACAAUCCAGCAAGGGCAAUUCAUGGUGUAAAAAAAAGAAGAAAAAAAAUCGCAUCGCCUCAAUUCGUGCUCAAGCAGACGACCCUCGCUCUCCGCCGCAGUUCUCAAUUGUAGUAGCAUAUUGGUCGAUUCCACAAAAUAUAAAAAAAAAUAAGGUGUAUACUUGAUGUUUCCGAUUUUCCUGAUAAUUUUGUAUUUUGUGCACAUAUCACUGCACAGCACGAAAUCGCAGUUCGUUUUCAAAUGAAAAUUUUUUUCAACACAGGAAAAUUGGACAAGCGUCGCCGGUUUACGAGUCAAUGACGACUACCAUUUUACGGAAGAGUGUGUUUUCGCUUGCACCGUGGUUCACAGUGCAUUAAUUCAACAUGGAAAAAAAGGUGCAGGUGCAUCUAAUUAUAUAACAUGAUUUGAAUCAGACAUGAAGAUACCUGCACUAUAGACGAUAUAGUAAGCAUGUAACAAUGGUGAUAAACCUGCUCCAAUACACUGAUUGUGAGCGCCAAGGGUUUGUAGCUACCCCAAAUUUAGAGAGAGAAGGCAGCCAUUCAAGUAUCCAGGGCUUCUGCAAGGAUUUGUUAACUUAUUUUUUGGCGCACUCAUAAUCUUCACUGUCUUAGUACAGAAGUAUUGAGACAUUUCAGCCUGCUUUGCAACAGCACACCCUAAGCCAGCAGCCAUUUGAGUGCAAUAUGCAGCGCAGGUGAUCUGUGCCCUCAACAUGCAGAGCUAGUGCAACCGCCACAGCAGGGCUAGCUAGAAGAGGAGCAGUGUUCUUAACCUGCUUCCCAGUUACCACCCUCUGCAUUAAGAUUCUGUGUAAGCAGCUGACAUUAAUGCAAAUUUUUAUUUGCAUAACUGUUUCACAUCUUUAUUCUAAACUUCAAGGGGCUUUUACAAAUUUUAAUAUGAUGCAAUUACGGACACCAAAUAGUUUUCAAAUUACCUUCAAGUUUGAACUAGAUGGGAGCUAGAUUUGCCAGUAUUCCAAUGUGUCUUGUAAACACCAGAAAGCAGAAUAUGAAAGUCACCUAUGCCCUCAGAAGUGCGUACAAGUUCAGAACUUAGUGUAAAUGGAGGAGCUAGAGCAGAUUUCAUGUACCUUGUUUCAAUCACCCACACCAUGAUUAGUCCUCUGCUCCAAAAUAAAAGUUUGCACCCUGAAAAAAAAAAAUCACCUGCACCAAAUUGUUCCAUUCACAAAACCAAGGUCUUGUUCCAAAAGCUUGUCACGCUCUCUCACCUAUCAUGAGCAAAACAACAAACAAAAUCCACUUUGUAUUCAUGUUCAAGGGCAUUUGCAGGGUGCAUUCUUUUCAUGUGAUUGCGCUAGUGUUUUAAAUAUUUCUUGCAUUUUGUGUAUGUUUGGAUGUCUAGUUCGAAUGUUUUUAUGUCUAUUUAUAAAGAUUGAUAUGCAGUUUGUGUCGUUGCGUUGUAGCUUAUUUGUAGUUGUGCAAUAAAUUUUAAAGCUUUGCAA